UGCUCAGCUAACCUAGAGUUUCUCAUGGUUAAGUGCAGACCGUUCUAUCUGCCGCGGGAGUUCACAUCCACCAUUAUAACUGCCGCUUACAUUCCUCCUGAUGCUGAUGCCAAGCUUGCUAUGAACGAACUUCAUGCGGCCAUCAGUAAACAACAGACUGAUCACCCAGAGGCUGCAUACAUUGUGGCGGGCGAUUUUAAUCAUUCCAAUUUGAAGACGGUAUUUCCUAAAUUUCAUAAAAACAUUCUCUGUCACACCAGAGGAAACAAAACUCUGGAUCAAGUUUAUACAAACAUGGCUGAAGCCUAUGCUGUGACCCCCCUCCCCCACUUCGGACAAUCAGAUCACCUUUCUUUGUUUCUCACCCCCAAGUACUCCCCCCUCAUCAACCGUGUGAAGCCAUCAGUGAGGACCAUCAAAGUGUGGCCAGCGGGGGCUGACAUCACACUCCAGGACAGGUUCCAACACACAGACUGGAGUAUGUUUGCUUCACAGGCCACCUGUGGCUCUCACACGGACAUCGACAUCUACACCUCCUCUGUUCUGAACUACAUUAACACCACCAUAGACACGGUUACUACUCAGAAACAGAUCACCACAUACCCUAAUCAGAAGCCUUGGAUGAACAAGGAGGUGCGUCUCUUGCUGAAGGCACGCAACAAUGCCUUCAGAUCGGGUGAUGCACAGGCCUACGGCAUUUCCAGGGCGAACCUGAAGAGGGGCAUCAAAAAGGCCAAGCACUGCUACAAACUAAAGCUAGAGGAAUACUUCUCCAAUGCUGAUCCUCGACGCUUGUGGCAGGGCAUUCAGGCCAUUACAGACUAUAAACCCAGCAACUCAGCCCCCACAACCACAGAUGUCCUCUUUCUGAAUGAGCUCAACGACUUUUAUGCUCGCUUUGAGACAACAAGCAACCUGCUGUCAAGAUCCCCUCAUCUACCGACCACUCGCCCAUCAUACUCACCUCCUCAGAUGUUUGCACUGCACUGAGUCGGAUAAACGCGCGCAGGGCUGCUGGACCAGACGGCAUCCCGGGGCGCGUACUUAGAGCAUGUGCAGAGCAGCUCGCUGGCGUAUUCAC
rnacentral:lncRNA from 1 species